rnacentral:rRNA from 1 species
GACGAACGCUGGCGGCGUGCCUAAUACAUGCAAGUCGAACGCUGAAGGAGGAGCUUGCUUCUCUGGAUGAGUUGCGAACGGGUGAGUAACGCGUAGGUAACCUGCCUGGUAGCGGGGGAUAACUAUUGGAAACGAUAGCUAAUACCGCAUAACAGUAGAUAUCGCAUGAUAUCUACUUGAAAGGUGCAAUUGCAUCACUACCAGAUGGACCUGCGUUGUAUUAGCUAGUUGGUGAGGUAACGGCUCACCAAGGCGACGAUACAUAGCCGACCUGAGAGGGUGAACGGCCACACUGGGACUGAGACACGGCCCAGACUCCUACGGGAGGCAGCAGUAGGGAAUCUUCGGCAAUGGACGGAAGUCUGACCGAGCAACGCCGCGUGAGUGAAGAAGGUUUUCGGAUCGGAAAGCUCUGUUGUAAGAGAAGAACGAGGGUGAGAGUGGAAAGUUCACACUGUGACGGUAUCUUACCAGAAAGGGACGGCUAACUACGUG